GGACAGGAAACAUGCUUUGAAAAUCAGGCUUGCAGGAGCAAACUCUGCUCCGAUUAAACUGCACGUUCCAAAGAAGCUCCGUCGAAAACACAUCAUCAAGUGCUGCGGUUUCAAAAAAUGCAUGCCGAAAUUCAACGCAACUUCAAAGAAAAGAACAAAAAAUUUGGACCAGGCCGAUGGUCCGAUUUCGUCAACUUUGAUUCAGCUUGCGAGCAAAACGGGCGCAGUGAAAGGAAGCACAGCUGCCUCUGACGUCAGCAACAAUGACGAACCGCCGACUGUGCCGGAAGUUGGUACAG